UUGGACCUCACCUAGAAAUCUACAUUGUUCUUGAGUUUGUCCAAUUCCUGAUGACACUUCCCAGGAAGGCUUGGGAAAUCCAUCAUUCUGGGAUUUCACAUCACGGGAUUUUGCUGCCAUCUUCCCAACCACUGCACAGAUCUGAACAAACAUUACAGAGAAACCCUAUUGCCUUUAGAGCUUGGAACACAAAGUGUAACUCACCUAAUCUGGGUGUAUGAGCUCUGAGCUCUUUCAUUUUCUUCAGUCUGGAAGGGAAUACAGCUGAGCUCUGCUCUGUCCCA
rnacentral:lncRNA from 1 species